UAGAAUAUAUAUAUUUUUAGCCUGCAUCCAUUAUGCUUUUCAUCCAUCAUACUUUUUUUAAUCCAUUCCCUCAUGAUGUGAUUCCAAAUUAUCUAUAACACCUCCCACUCUAUACUAUGCCACAGUAAAUAUGCUGCUGCACCAGAGAGCAGAACUUACUCUUAAGUCACUAUAGGUACCAAAUGUUAGAAAAUUUGGCCUUUGACUGACUGGCUAUCUCUGUACUCAGCUAAAAAGUUUAUUGCUAUGCAAAGGAAGGAAGAUGACUAUUAACACACAAGUUAUAGUCUCUGCUAUAUCCUCCCAUUGUGAUUUUAAUUUUAAAGUGUUAGAUUCAUUUCUGGAAGUGUAGAAAUUUCUUUAAGAUAAUCAAAUGAACCAUGCAGAAAAUCAAUUACAUAUUCUGAAUAGCUAUCUCAAUCUCACUGCUUAUUUCUUCAUUAUUAUCAAAAAAGUUUGCAUGUUAAUAAUUGUUGAAAUAAAAUGUACAACAUAUUCUUCAAGGAGAAAAAAAUAUGUUUUAAAGCAUUGUAAAAGAGAAGAAAGAUAUAUGGGCAUAUCUACACAUUUUAUUCAAAAAAUAGUAUGUAUAUAUAUAAUAUAUGUGUAUAUAUG
rnacentral:lncRNA from 10 species